rnacentral:rRNA from 1 species
UGGGGAAUCUUGCACAAUGGAGGAAACUCUGAUGCAGCGACGCCGCGUGAGCGAUGAAGCCCUUCGGGGUGUAAAGCUCUUUCGGCAGGGACGAUAAUGACGGUACCUGAAGAAGAAGCUGCGGCUAACUACGUGCCAGCAGCCGCGGUAAUACGUAGGCAGCAAGCGUUGUUCGGAAUUACUGGGCGUAAAGAGUGUGUAGGCGGUUUUCUAAGUUUGGUGUGAAAUCUCCCGGCUUAACUGGGAGGGUGCGCCGAAAACUGGAAGGCUUGAGUGCCGGAGAGGAUAGCGGAAUUCCUGGUGUAGCGGUGAAAUGCGUAGAUAUCAGGAGGAACACCUGCGGUGUAGACGGCUAUCUGGACGGCCACUGACGCUGAGACACGAAAGCGUGGGUAGCAAACAGGAUUAGAUACCCCCGUAGUCC